CCCACAGUAUCAGAUAACUACUUUUCCUGGUACACGUCGAUUACCCGACGCUUCAUGACACCUGAUGACGCUUACUGUUAUCGCAUGAAUAAUUUUGUUGAAGACGUACGUCGAGUCUCCAUGGAAAACAAUUUUGAAAUUUUUAGUCCAAUGUGUGACGAAGUCAUGGGAGAUAUAGACAGCCUUGUUCAGCGGACUCGACGUUUAAAUGUUGCCGACACAGAUCGUAGACGCAUUCGACGGCGACGACGACGACAAGGCGAUGAUGUCGUAGAGGGAGAUGGGGAAGCUUCUUAAGUUGUAUAAUUUAAGUGUUUUUAAAUUUUGCUAGAACUUAUUCAAGUUGUAUAAAUAAAAAGUUGAACUUUUUUAAA